GACGAACGCUGGCGGCGUGCUUAACACAUGCAAGUCGAACGCUGAAGCUCAGCUUGCUGGGUGGAUGAGUGGCGAACGGGUGAGUAACACGUGAGUAACCUGCCCUCUUCUUUGGGAUAACGCCCGGAAACGGGUGCUAAUACUGGAUAUUCACUGAUUCUCGCAUGGGGGUUGGUGGAAAGGUUUUUUCUGGUGGGGGAUGGGCUCGCGGCCUAUCAGCUUGUUGGUGGGGUGAUGGCCUACCAAGGCUUUGACGGGUAGCCGGCCUGAGAGGGUGACCGGUCACAUUGGGACUGAGAUACGGCCCAGACUCCUACGGGAGGCAGCAGUGGGGAAUAUUGCACCAUGGGCGAAAGCCUGAUGCAGCGACGCCGCGUGAGGGAUGGAGGCCUUCGGGUUGUAAACCUCUUUCGCUCAUGGUCAAGCCGCAGCUUUGGGUUGUGGUGAGGGUAGUGGGUAAAGAAGCGCCGGCUAACUACGUG
rnacentral:rRNA from 1 species